rnacentral:lncRNA from 1 species
AAAAUAUGGUUAUCUACACAUUGGAUUAGUUCAAGUAGCUGUAAAACCUCUUACCAGAUUAAGGUAUUGUGACCUCCCUAUCUUAAUCUGCUUAAGAGAUAAAAGGAUGUUGAGAUUUCACGAAUCUGUCGUAGCAGUUCUUGAAUCCAAUAUUCAGAAUGGACCAGCAUAUUUCAAUUGUUUUUCUAGCUAUCCAGUUUGUCUCAGAGAUCCUCAUGUUACAACAUGUGUAGAUUUAGAUAUAAAAAUUCCAAAUGAAAUGUUCAUUGAUGGAAUUCCACCGGUUAGUAUCAUGUACAGAUUUUGUUAUAAAGUCACUGACAACCUUUUUGGCAUAAAGGCCGUAAGAGAUUACACAGUGAAUGAAACUGAAGUAACAGAAAUCAAUGCUGAAAACUCUUCAAGAAUCACCCGGAAGAUACUCAAACAUGAUGAAAUCACAUAUCCACAAGAAUGGCUGCAAGGAUGUUCUUCACAACCUGCACCUUGAAAAUGUUCAUUGCCAUUGGUCAAAAACUAUUCAAGGAUAUCAUUAUGGCUUAAGAAUCUCUGUAUUGCAUAACUUAAAAUUGUGAGAAUUUACCGGUGGCACAACAAGUUUGGUGAGGCAUCGUAUGUUAUAGUUAGUCUUCACUUGCGAGCAUAUGCAGAUGCUGCACUUGUGACUUUUCUUUUGGUACAUUGGAAAAUAACUGCACUUGUGACUUGUGAGAAAAGAACUUUCCAAAUCAAGGUUAGACUCUAUAGAAAUCUCUUGUUUGCAUAAUGUCGGAAGUAGUCACUAAUUGUCUUUGUUUCUUAUGAUUUCUCUCUUGUAAUGAAAAAUAGUUAAUGUUGUUUCUAGUUUUCUACUUGUUUUUGUAUCUUUAGUCUCUUAUGAUGCUCUCUUUUAAUUUGUAUUGAAUACUAUAAUUAUAUAAUAUUGGAAGGGAAAUUGAGUUGGAUUUGGGCCAUGGUAUUUGGUUUUCAUUCUGAUUUGCUUGUACUUGCAAAUUCGUUGCAUUUAUUCAUUCAUAGCAUUAUUAUUUCUGAAAACUAUCACUAGCAUGAUGGAGGUGGCUAAUUUGUCCGGCGGAAGGAGGAGGAUUGAGUACCAAGAGAAGGUGAGAAGAGGUGGUUAUUGUGUCGGGCGCUGAGCACAAGUCACAGUGGAGAUCAGGGCGCGACUAAGCGUUGAAGAACACAACAUGAUGGAGGUUGCGAUUCGACAAUGGAGGGUAGUCCAUUUACAAGAACACAAUGUAUAGAACAAUGUCAUUAUACAACACAAUUUAAAAAUCAAAGAGUUAGAAUUAACUAACCUGUAAAGAGUGAGUGUAGCGGGCGAGACAGUGGCAGGGGCGAGAAGGAGGCAGAUGGCGUAGUGGCGACAAGAGGAUGGAUACGUGACAGGAGGGGGCACGAUGGCGACGAUAGGAGAAGGGAGAACUAUGGGCGACGAAAUUGGAACCGAAGGAGGGUAUGCUCACGACGAUAGUGCAAGAGGCUCAACAAUAAUAAGAUAUGCUCAUAGGGAGGGUCAGGGCCUACUCGGGGACGAGAGAGUCACUUCCUAGUUAAUACAGCUUUCUUAAUUAAUUAUUUGCAUUGAGUACGGCCUCGAUCAGAGGGGGACGAAAUUAGAGAGGGGGAGGGCAUGACGCUUCAUCAACAACAACGACGAGUUUCAUUGAGGAGGAUGGUUUUGCGAAGACUAGCAGAUUUAGGGUUAUGGAGAGAGACAACUAGGAUUCAAGGAGUGGGGAAUGCAGAUGAAGACAAUCUUUGAAAUUUCAUUCAAUAUAGUGUGAGCUCAAAGACGCUAUUCAGCAUUGGUCAUGCUGAAAUUAAUCUUUAAAUUACAAAUUCUAUAUUUUAACAAUUUGUGUUGGCUAAACCAACGCUAAGUAAUCAAAAUUAGCGUCACAUUGAGAACAACACAAUAUAUAACGCUAAAUUAUCCCUUUCUUGUAGGCUGUAGCGAUAAAAAUCAAUCCAAAAACUUUUAACAACCAUAAGAUAUAUUAAUAAAUAAAAAAUGGACGCUAUUUGAACACAACCACAACUGAUUGAGUUUUAGGGCAGGGAUAGAUGACACCAAGUAGUUUAGGGGGGAAAAGGGAAAAUUAACUUUUUCACACUUGUCCACCUCCACUUUGAGAGGUGGACAGAUGCGAAAAGAAAGAGAAUUGAUGUGAUUCACCAAUCACACCAUACAUAAUACCAAGUAGCUUAAUGGGGGUGUAGAAAUUCAAUCCGGUUUUAUAAACCACAAACAACAUUUUAUAUAAAAGAAAAAAAAAAUCACAUGUAUCAUUCCUAUCAUAUCCCAAUACUUCACAUCUCUAGUUUGUCUCCCUUAUCUGAAAUGAGAUAAGUAAGGUAAUGUGAUAGAAAUAGAAGUGGGAAAUAAAAAGAAAAAAAUAAAUGAAAAUGAAAUGAAAAAGAAUAUGAAAUGUGAUAACUCAAUAAUAAAUACACUUUUGUGUGUAGUACCACUACAACAUUUUUGUCUUACGGCAACGCCUGGAAAGUGUAGCCGAAGCCAGAAAAACCGUUCUCUUUUCUUUCAGAAACACUUUCACAAGUGUGGUAGUCUAAGGCGUUGCCUAAUCCUAGCGCUACGCUUUCAGGGAUCAAAGAGAACACAUCCAGAAAAGCGUUGUCGUUUCAGUUAUUAGAGAACGUUUCUCGAGUAUUCUAAGGAAACACUUUUACACUUGUUUUCUGUGAUGUCAUAUAAAAAGCGUUCCCCACAAUCAUAAGGAAAACAUAAAUGAAAGCGUAGUCAUAGGUAUUUGAGAACGUUUUUACUUGUAGGUCAAAGAGAACAGUUUUGCAACCGUUGCCAUUUUGUAUACUAAAUCCAAACUAUACAGCCAAACUUCAAGGAUUCUGAGAUAUUUUAAAUGCUCCAUUUACCAAUAAUAAUUGUUAACCACAUUUGCAGCAAUCAAAUAUAGGAUAAAUCAUAGCCAAAUAGAAAGGAAUAAGUACAAUCGAAGACAGAUCACGAAGAAAAAUGAGAGAAAAAAGAAGGAAAAAUUAUGAGUCUUCAUCUCAAAAUCUAAAUUCAUGAUCUAAGAAAUGAGUUUGGAAUCAUAAAUAAGCUACAAAUAUCAUAUCAAAUAAGAAACACUGAGAAUCCAAAAUUUAAGGUACCUAAACAUUGUAUUUUAUAGCCUUUCUUGAACCCUUUGUUGAGAAGAGUCUUCACCGUUGUUUCCCAUUGAACGGGUGAAGUAACCUUCAAGCCGCUGUAAUGGCCUACAAUGAGCAAAAAUGCAAUCAAAAAUCUUAUACAACAUUGACACUUAUCAAUGCAACCAAAUAUGUUAUAUGUCUCCCCUCCAUCAUAUACACUAAAGAAGAAUGCUAUUAUGCUUUGCAUGUGGAGAAGAUUUAGUUAACCAUUACCUACCAGGAAAGAAACACAAGAGGAAAGGAAGGCUACCUGCAUCGUACAAUUAGGAUAAAUUAGAGCCAAGAGUACCAAUUCAAAUAAUGAUAUAACCAAAGAUCUCAUCUAAUUUUAGUCACAUAGCAUGAGAGCAAAAUGCAGCUUUCUCAUGUUUUAAGUGAAUUGAUAGCCACAUAAAGGGAGCUACUCAUGAAAGAUACAGGGAUACAGGGACAAAAGGAAAUUCCUCAAUAGCCUUUCAUUUCCUUCAUAUCAUGACAUAUCAUUGUGCUUAGCAAACCACAAACUUCAAUUACAAUAAACUCUAAAAAAAUUCUUUCCAUGCUAAUGCUCAGUUGAGAGAAAGAGUUUACUAGUAUGAGCUGAAUGAACAAAAUGUCUUAACUAAAUAUAUAAAACAGAAACUAGUGAUAAUUCUAUGUGCUCUAUGCCAUAUGCGAGACCAGAGAAGUAGAGAAACUAACCUGAGUGUUCAAUUUUCAGCAAAAUUCCUUGAAAAGGUUAGUCUGAGGAAAAAAAAAUAUAUUAGCCAUUAAAAGAAAGUAACAUAAAUUAGUAAAUAUUUUAAUAAGCCACAAUCACGUGAGCCCAAUCAUUCUAAUACCAAGAAACAAAGUCAAAAUACCUCUAGUUAAGACUAUUCCUCAGCCAAAACAUCAUCCAAGAAGACAAAUACCUCUAGUUAACAACAAUGCUGGUUAGCAACAUUUGAGACAGUGAACUUAAACAUUAUUAGUAUUAGGUAGAGAAGAUGCAAGUUUUAGGGAUUUGCAAAUACCAGUAGUGGUUCAUUUCUUGAUUUCUAGUUCUGUUUCUUCCUCCACAAUGUCUCUCCAAAGGCGUAGCAAACUAAAGAAAUGACUAGCUAUAAACACAGUGAAAGAACUACUGGCAUGCACCAACAUAUAGUAUUUAAGCAUAUAAUUAAUAAGAAAAAAAAGUAAAGAUAGAAAGAAAUAAAAUAGAUAAUGUAAUUCAAUAUCAAAGGGAUGAAAACGAACCUUGGACACCAAAUCCUGCACAGCCUCUGAAAGAAGCACAUCUUCAUUCAAAUGCCUGAUGCUUUUGGGAAAAUAAAAUAUUCAAAAUCUCAAAUUCUGCAUAGUCCAGUUUGACAGGGAAAAUGAAGUAUAGAAAACCCAUCCUUACAUUGGGACUAUCUGUGUGCUUGGCUACUGCCUUACUAUCUUCUGGGAGUUCCAUGAUUCUGUUUACCUGAAAGAGAAAAUAGCAUGCAUCAUUAGUAACCACUAAUGUAUAACAGGAAAAGAUGAAAGUAAAUAAUAAAAUAAGCAGGGCAAGGAGGGUAAGAAUUUAACACAUAUUAUGCAAAAUUAUUAACUAUUGAUCGAAGGAGGAAAAAACUUUAUAGAAAGAAAAUGUAGCCAAGGAAACAGAUUCCAUGAGACUACUCACAGUUCUUGUUCAUGCUAGCGUUUUUGAAAGCAUCCCAUUAGAUUCAGGUGGUUCCCACAUCCUGCAAACCCCAAGUUUAAAACAUGUUAUAUAUUUAUUUCUUUAAGUAGCCCAAUUUUGCAGUACAAGUUUCAACUGAAUAAUGUAUUGAACUGUGGAGAACAAUGUAAAAUUAAUAAAUACACUUUUGUGUGUAGUACACACGACACAAUGAAAGAACAACUUGAACAGAACAGAAACAUUUCAUUAAGCAAGACAUUCAUAACAGAACUACAUAGAAUUAGAACAAUAAAAGGUAGAAUCCGCAUUAAACUAAACAUAAUGAUCAUGAACAACAUUCAAAGCUAGUAUUAAACAUAAGACAUUAAUAGAAAUUGAUCUUCCAAAAGCAACAUGCAUAUAUAGCUGGUUGGGCCAUUGGCAGACAUGAUUUUUGUUUUUUCACUGCCCAUCUGCCAUGAGAGCAUAGCGAACACCAUCAGGGGGAGAAUCAAACUCUCUGAGUUGGAAAGGAGGGUAGUCAGGCUCACGAGCAAUAUCAGCGAGCUUAUCAGCAACACCGUUAGCAUUUCCAGGGAUCCAACUCAAUUUAGCUUUCCAGUCACCAGAAGAAAGAAGAUCCCUUAUCUGACAAAUCAGAGGAUUAAUAGUUCUGCUCCCAUUUUUCACAAGAUUAACAAUCCCUCUGUUAUCAGAUUCCACCACCACUUUCUUCACCCUUCUCCCCCGUGCCCACUGCAACCCUCUGAAAAUCGCCUCCUUCUCUGUUUCAUCAGGAUAGUGCCUUCGCGGCUCCAGCUUCACAGCGAACCCGCUUAUCCAUUUUCCAGACGAGUCUCUCAGAACACCGCCACAACCUGCUGAUAGAGGAUCAGGAAGAAGCGAACCGUCCACGUUCAGUUUCAACCAACCUCGCCUAGGCUUGGUCCACACCUCCUUGUUAGGCCUCUGCGCAAUUUGGGCUGUGACUGUGCCUGUGAGUGCCUGAGCCGCUUCAGGCUCAGGUUGUUUGAAGAGAGCGUAUAAACCACCGGCUACGGUGGCCGCUGCGGCGGCUGCACAUGCCACUUUCAGAAAUGUGGACUCCCAGCCUUCCUCCUCGCCUUCUCUCUUGUCAUUUCUUCCACUCAUUUUGUCUACACAAAUACACACAGCUGCAGGUAGUUUAGCUUGAUCAACCUCACCAUGCAGUGAUCAGUAAAUAUAGUGAACUUGUUUACUCACCCUCUUUAUGACAGUGCUACUUUUCAUGGUGCGUUGCUCUGCUCCUUCACGAUAAGAUCUAUAAGUUUUUUCCUUUUUCUUUAUUAUCACUUUAUAGAGUCUCUUGCGUACCUAGUAAGUCUCCUAUAUGUGAAAUCCAAGGCAUAUUUUUAUUUUAGAUAAUAUAAUAAGGUGCCACCAUAUAAUAAUUCUAAUAAUUGUCCUUUUCCCAUUGUUUUAGUCCCUGGCUCCACCCUCCACCGUCCUCUUUUUCUCCUUUUCUUUUGACAACCCCCGUCCUCUUUUUCUCCUUUAGUGUGGACUAACACUUUUGACUUUUGAGUUUUGAUUAUACAUUAAGAAUUGGCAUUUCCUCAGUACAAGCAAAAAAAAAUUCUGGGUCAAAUACAUGAGUAUGAGUGAUAUGUACCAGUAGGAAAAUUACACUUGGAUUAUUUAUUAAUAAUAUUGUGGACUUCUUGAAACUCUCGAUCAACCCUGUAGGUUUAUUGUAAUUAUAAACUAACCUCAGAACCUUUUAUUUUUCGAAUUCAGUCCUUAUGUUAGGUGAAAAAAUUGGAUGUUGAAUGAGAUUAACCUUUUCACCUUGUUUUAUAUAUGUUCAUCGGUUUCAACUUUUUUUUCACCUUCUUUUCAUUUUGCCUCUGGUUUUAGGGUUCUUCCCUUCUUCCCAAUCUCUAUCGCACAGAUUUUAGAAAUCGUUUCCAUUCUUGUUUAUAUCUUCUCGAUUCAGUGAUUUGCAAUGGAAUCUGAAAAUUGAUGGUUAUUGAUCUGUGUUUCAGUUUUCUGCAAAAAAAAAUUCCCGAAAAAUUUGUGGCUGAAAUAAAUUCAUGUGGUGUAUUCAUAUAAUAUCGUGAUUCGGUUUAUAAUGAAAAGAUGAUUUUUUUUAUCAUGUUUAUCACAAAUUGGCGUUGGCGUCAUGGUGUCACCAGCCCCAAUCCCAAAUCCGUUAUACUGGGACAAGCUAGCUAUUUUUGUUCUUGUGAGAGAAUUAUAUAUGGUAAAACAAAAAUUUCUAGAGGCUUUGGAGUAUUGAUGAAAACACUCAUCAUGCAGUUGCAGAACAUAUUCUUAUGCAGAAAAAGGGUGAAAAAAAGAUAUUUUGUGGUGGUAGCAACUGAAGGGUGGAAAUCAGAGAGAUUCUUCAUUUUGAAUUGGGGUAGACAAACUCAUAUAGCCCAGAAUAUAAAUUUGAUGGAAGUAAUAUUAACAGUGGUAAAGUUUAAAAUACAUAAUUAUUAAAAAGGAUGAGGACAUAUUUAGUAAGGUAAAAUUGAUCUAGGGUCAUAACGUAAAUAGCCUAAAAAAUGAUCUAGUCAACACUUAUCACAUUAAGUGUUCAUAUAUUAUUGGUACACCUCACUCCUGUAGCCUACACUCGUUUGAAUUUAUGGGCACCCAAGUAUGCACCUUAAAAAUUAAUUAAUAAUUAGUGCAUUUGGACAAAUAAAGUUUUAUUCACACUCAAAAUAUAUAAGUGACAGAUAUGCAAAGUGAUGCAAUAUGAAUAGAAGUUGAUCACAAUAUUUGAUCCUAUCUUUUAUUUUUUAUUGUUGAAAUUCACCCGUGUAUGUCCAUUGAUUGAAGAAUCAGUCUCUUGAAACUAAAAUAUUUCUUAGACAUGGCAAAUCUUACAUUGAAUCAACAUGCCAACAAUUCUGAAGAAAAUGAUUCAAACUUAGAACAAAAGCUUCAAAAUUGGUCAAUUCCAAAGAUUAGAACAAACCAAGUUUAUAAAACUUCAAUCUUUGAAUUCAACCCUGAUUAUGAGAUCAAAACAGUGGAAAAAUCUUUUGCAGUCCAAGGUCCAUACCAGAGGAUUUCCAUUUUGGAUUCACGCAUAGUGAAUCAACAUGUGAGAAAAUAUCGUGAUCUACACAUUGGAUUAGUUCAACUAGCUGUAAAACCUCUUACCAGAUUAAGGUAUUGUGACCUCCCUAUCUUAAUCUGCUUAAGAGAUAAAAGGAUGUUGAGAUUUCACGAAUCUGUGUUAGCAGUUCUUGAAUGCAAUAUUCAGAAUGGACCAGCAUAUUUCAAUUGUUUUCCUAGCUAUCCAGUUUGUCUCAGAGACCCUCAUGUUACAACAUGUGUAGAUUUAGAUAUAAAAAUUCCAAAUGAAAUGUUCAUUGAUGGAAUUCCACCGGUUAGUAUCAUGUACAGAUUUUGUUAUAAAGUCACUGACAACCUCUCUGGCAUAAAGGCCGUAAGAGAUUACACAGUGAAUGAAACUGAAGUAACAGAAAUCAAUGCUGAAAACUCUUCAAGAAUCACCCGGAAGAUACUCAAACAUGAUGAAAUCACAUAUCCACAAGAAUGGCUGCAAGGAUGUUCUUCACAACCUGCACCUUGAAAAUGUUCAUUGCCAUUGGUCAAAAACUAUUCAAGGAUAUCAUUAUGGCUUAAGAAUCUCUGUAUUGCAUAACUUUAAAUUGUGAGAAUUCACUGGUGGCACAACAAGUUUGGUGAGGCAUCGUAUGUUAUAGUUAGUCUUCACUUGCGAGCAUAUGCAGAUGCUGCACUUGUGACUUUUCUUUUGGUACAUCGGAAAAUAACUGCACUUGUGACUUGUGAGAAAAGAACUUUCCAAAUCAAAGUUAGACUCUGUAGAAAUCUCUUGUUUGCAUAAUGUCGGAAGUUGUCACUAAUUGUCUUUGUUUCUUAUGAUUUCUCUCUUGUAAUGAAAAAUAGUUAAUGUUGUUUCUAGUUUUCUACUUGUUUUUGUAUCUUUAGUCUCUUAUGAUGCUCUCUUUUAAUUUGUAUUGAAUACUAUAAUUAUAUAAUAUUGGAAGGGAAUUGAGUUGGAUUUGGGCCAUGGUAUUUGGUUUUCAUUCUGAUUUGCUUGUACUUGCAAAUUCGUUGCAUUUAUUCAUUCAUAGCAUUAUUAUUUCUGAAAACUAUCACUAGCAUGAUGGAGGUGGCUAAUUUGUCCGGCGGAAGGAGGAGGAUUGAGUACCAAGAGAAGGUGAGAAGAGGUGGCUAUUGUGUAGGGCGCUGAGCACAAGUCACAGUGGAGACCAGGGCGCAACUAAGCGUUGAAGAACACAACAUGAUUGAGGUUGCGAUUCGACAAUGGAAGGUGGUCCAUUUACAAGAACACAAUGUAUAGAACAAUGUCAUUAUACAACACAAUUUAAAAAUCAAAGAGGUAGAAUUAACUAACCUGUAAAGAGUGAGUGUAGCGGGCGAGACAGUGGCAAGGGCGAGAAGGAGGCAGAGGGCGUAGUGGCGACAAGAGGAUGGAUCCGUGACAGGAGGGGGCACGAUGGCGACGAUAGGAGAAGGGAGAACUAUGGGUGACGAAAUUGGAAUCGAAGGAGGGUAUGCUCACGACGAUAGUGCAAGAGGCACAACAAUAAUAAGAUAUGCUCAUAAGGAGGGAUAGGGCCUGCUCGGGGACGAGAGAGUCACUUCCUAGUUAAUACCGUUUUCUUAAUUAAUUAUUUGCAUUGAGUACGGCCUCGAUCAGAGGGGGACGAAAUUAGAGAGGGGGAGGGCAUGACGCUUCAUCAACAACAACGACGAGUUUCAUUGAGGAGGAUGGUUUUGCGGAGACUAGCAGAUUUAGGGUUAUGGAGAGAGACAACUAGGAUUCAAGGAGUGGGGAAUGCAGAUGAAGACAAUCUUUGAAAUUUCAUUCAAUAGACGCUAUUCAGCGUUGGUCAUGCUGAAAUUAAUCUUUAAAUUACAAAUUCUAUAUUUUAACAAUUUGUGUCGGCUAAACCAACGCUAAGUAAUCAAAAUUAGCGUCACAUUGAGAACAACACAAUAUAUAACGCUAAAUUAUCCCUUUCUUGUAGGCUGUAGCGAUAAAAAUCAAUCCAAAAACUUUUAAUUAACAACCAUAAGAUAUAUUAAUAAAUAAAAAAUGGACACUAUUUGAACACAACCACAACUGAUCGAGUUUUAGGGCAGGGAUAGAUGACACCAAGUAGUUUAGGGGGAAAAGGGAAAUUUAACUUUUUCACACUUGUCCACCUCCACUUUGAGAGGUGGACAGGUGGGAAAAGAAAGAGAAUUGAUGUGAUUCACCAAUCACACCAUACAUAAUACCAAGUAGCUUAAUGGGGGUGUAGAAAUUCAAUCCGGUUUUAUAAACCACAAACAACAUUUUAUAUAAAAGAAAACAAAAUUCACAUGUCUCAUUCCUAUCAUAUCCCAAUACUUCACAUCUCUAGUUUGUCUCCCUUAUCUGAAAUGAGAUAAGUAAGGUAAUGUGAUAGAAAUAGAAGUGAGAAAUAAAAAGAAAAAGAUAAAUGAAAAUGAAAUGAAAAAGAAUAUGAAAUGUGAUAACUCAAUAAUAAAUACACUAUCUAGAUGGAUCUAGGCUUUUGACCAUAAGCUAAGAAAUCAUUUUUUUAAACAUGGAGAAUGGUUGUUGGCAUAAUGUGAUUUCGAAACUGCCUAUGACUAUCCUUUGUGGGGAGAUAUUGGCGAAUAAAAGAGUGUUAAAUAUGUUUUUGAUCCCUCUAAUUUUAUCAUUGGUUGGAAUAGUUUUUUAACCAACUUAUCUUAAAUAUUAUUGGUUUCCCUAAAAAUAAGAUGAUUUAACUAAAAAAAAAAAUUCUAGAGUUAUUUAUACAAGUCCAAAAGAGUUUACUUUAGAACAAAUAAUAGGAGGCACCAAUUUUUAAAUCAAUUACCCACUAUUAAUAAUCAUUGAUUCAAUAUCUACGAUUAUAAUCAUUAUAUCAACAACAAUUUAUAAUAGAUCACAAAAAAUGUCCACUAUAUAACUUUCCUCACUUUGUUUUAGAGUUUUUCUCUAUGUUUUCCCCCUCUUUGCAUUAAUAAAGUAUGUGAAAGUAGGUCCACCCUAGACCCUAGUCUUUAUCUUUGGAGUAAUAUAUCAUUUUUUUUUUUUAUGUAACCAAAAAAAAAUAUAUCAUUUUUAUAAACUUUUUUUUACACAACUCCAAAACGGACUUGAAAGGCAUUGAAGUCCGCAAAAUUCAAUAAAUAUAUUCAUAGAGGAAGACAAACCUGUAUAUUAUUAACCAGCCCCUCUUGCUUUCUCAAGCUUUACAUCAAAUCAAAGUCUCUUGUAUUCCUUUAGUAAGUCCUUUCAACCUAUCUCCAUUAGUAUUACUCUAUCAUAAGCAUUUUUCCUCUCAAUAUUUCAUCCUAUCUUUUAUUUUUAUUGUUGAAAAUUCACCCCUGCAUGUUCACUAUUUGAAGAAUUUAUCUCUUGAAACCAAAAUAUUUCUAAGAUAUGUCAUAUCUUACAUUGAACCAACAUGCCAACAAUUCUGAAGAAAUUGAUUCAAACUUAGAACAAAAGCUUCAAAAUUGGUCAAUUCCAAAGAUCAAAACAAACCAAGUUUAUAAAAUUCCAAUCUUUGAAUUCAACCCUGAUUAUGAGAUCAAAACAGUGGAAAAAUCUUUUGCAGUCCAAGGUCCAUACCAGACUAUUUCCAUUUUGGACUCACGCAUAGUGAAUCAACAUGUGAGAAAAUAUGGUUCUCUGCACUUUGGAUUAGUUCAAGUAGCUGUGAAACCUCUUACCAGAUUAAGGUGCGACCUCCCUAUCUUAAUCUGCUUAAGAGACAAACGACAUUUGAAAUUUUGGAACACUGUCAGAGCAGUUCUUGAAUCUGAUAUUCAGAAUGGACCAGCAUAUUUCAAUUGUUAUCCUAGCUAUCCAGUUUCUCUUAGAGAUCCUCAUGUUACAAAAUGUUUAGACUUGGAUGUAAAAAUUCCAAAUGAAAUGUUCGUUGAUGGAGCUCCACCACCGGUUAGUAUCAUGUACAGAUUUUGUUAUAAAGUCACUGACAACCUCCGUGGUGUAAAGGCCAAAAGAAGUAACACAGUGAAUGAAACUGAUGU